UGUGUUGCUUGCGGUGAAUAUUUGGUAUGUAGAGGAUCUGCAGGCUAGGUAAAGUGAAAAAAUAGGGAUUGAAAUCAGGAUUUUUGGUGUUUGGUCUGAUUGGAACAAGUCAAGUUAGUGAUGAAGGUGAUGUUGAGUUCAAGGCUGUUCUUUUUGUUCCUCCAAAGGCUCCUCAUGAUCUGUAUGGGAGUUACUACAAUGCUAACAAGUCCAACUUGAAGUUAUACGUCAGACGUGUCUUCAUCUCAGAUGGAUUCGAUGAUCUUCUGCCCAAGUACCUGAACUUUUUGAUGGGAAACACAUUAGGAAGUUGGUUAAAGAUGGAUUCAUCAGCUGCAAACCAAACCACAUUCACUCUCCAUAUCAUGCACGGAGAAUGACAAAAGCCAGAUUGAGGGGUUUUCACUCUGGAUAUGGUUCAGUUAGUGAUUGAGAAUUUAGAGCAAUUGUUCCUGAAACAAUAAAAAUGAGCGGCUUGUUGUCAAUGAUGAUCGAGGUGAUAAGUUAAUGCUACUGCGAGCAAAUCCAGAUGCCCC